rnacentral:rRNA from 1 species
GACGAACGCCGGCGGCGUGCCUAACACAUGCAAGUCGAACGGAGUGGCGAUCGGGUGAGUAACACGCGGGUGACCUGCCCUGCACUUCGGGAUAAGCCUGGGAAACUGGGUCUAAUACAGGAUAGUGUGGGCGUGGCACGCGGCCUAUCAGCUUGUGGGUGGGGACAUGGCUUACCAAGGCGGCGACGGGUAGCCGGCGUGAGAGAGUGUACGGACACAUUGGGAAUUAGACACGGCCCAGACGCCUACGGGAGGCAGCAGUGUGGAAUAUUGAACCAGGGGCGGAAGACUGAUGCAGGGGCGCCGCGUGGGAGAUGACGGCCUUCGGAUUGUAAGCUCCUGUCACCAGCGAGGCGGUGGAUGGAGAAGAAGCACCGGCUAACUACGUGCCAGCAGCGGCGGUAAGUC